rnacentral:rRNA from 1 species
CUGCAGUCGAACGCUUCUUUUUCCACCGGAGCUUGCUCCACCGGAAAAAGAGGAGUGGCGAACGGGUGAGUAACACGUGGGUAACCUGCCCAUCAGAAGGGGAUAACACUUGGAAACAGGUGCUAAUACCGUAUAACAAUCGAAACCGCAUGGUUUUGAUUUGAAAGGCGCUUUCGGGUGUCGCUGAUGGAUGGACCCGCGGUGCAUUAGCUAGUUGGUGAGGUAACGGCUCACCAAGGCGACGAUGCAUAGCCGACCUGAGAGGGUGAUCGGCCACAUUGGGACUGAGACACGGCCCAAACUCCUACGGGAGGCAGCAGUAGGGAAUCUUCGGCAAUGGACGAAAGUCUGACCGAGCAACGCCGCGUGAGUGAAGAAGGUUUUCGGAUCGUAAAACUCUGUUGUUAGAGAAGAACAAGGAUGAGAGUAACUGUUCAUCCCUUGACGGUAUCUAACCAGAAAGCCACGGCUAACUACGUGCCAGCAGCCGCGGUAAUACGUAGGUGGCAAGCGUUGUCCGGAUUUAUUGGGCGUAAAGCGAGCGCAGGCGGUUUCUUAAGUCUGAUGUGAAAGCCCCCGGCUCAACCGGGGAGGGUCAUUGGAAACUGGGAGACUUGAGUGCAGAAGAGGAGAGUGGAAUUCCAUGUGUAGCGGUGAAAUGCGUAGAUAUAUGGAGGAACACCAGUGGCGAAAGCGGCUCUCUGGUCUGUAACUGACGCUGAGGCUCGAAAGCGCUGGGGAGCAAACAGGAUUAGAUACCCCUGGUA